UCCAUAUGCAGAUAGGGAGGAGGAGCCUGUGAUGGUUAAGGUCAGUUGGAAUGCAACUGUUACUGGUCAGAAGAUGUUCUUGAUUGUAGAGGAGAGGAAUCUAUCUAUCUAUCUAUAUAAGGAUAGAGGGCAGGGGUCUGUGAAGAGAGGGGUCAUGAAGGAGGAAAGAGCCCCUUCAGCUGAAAGACGUUGCUGUUGUGUGAAUUAGAUGAGGAAACAAGAUGAACAAGAUCUGUUUACUUAGGAAGGGGGAGAGACUGAGAGAGAGAGAAGGAAAGAAAGAAAGAGACAGGAAGAAGGGAAGGGAAAAAGACAGAGGGGAAGAGCGAGGGACGGAUCCGAGUCUGUCAGCAGCCUGAGAGGAACGAGCAGCCAUGGCGGUGCUGGCAGUGAGGAAGGGCCUGUUCAACCACUGCUGCUGCUGCUCCUGUGGCGAGGUGCAGGAAAGGGGCUCGAGUGAGGGUGGGGAGGUCUCUGGGGAUAGGAGGCUGCAGCUUCAUCAAUAGGCACCAGCAACAUUGCAGCCACGACCAAGACAGAAUAAACAAACAAACCAUGGCGACUGAAAGGAAGCAUGACAAAUUGAUGCAGGAGAGAGCCCAAUAAAUGAGCUGCUCAAAUCUCCAUCCACUGAAAGGCACCAAGCAGGGACUUCAUCAGUAUUCCUUCUUUCCUGGGGCAGGAAAAGAAAUGAUGGAUUGCAUUUCCGAAGACCCAUGCCGUGUUAUCAAUUCCACCCACUCUUCAAGCAAGACCAAUAUGCUGAGUGCCAGGCAGAAGCUUGGAGGCUGCUAUUCAUCUCAGUUUGGAAACUAGACUUCAGAAACAGAUGGAGGGAAGAGCAAUGCAGAAUCCCACCAGGAACAUGGGCAGGGGGUGGCCUAAUGCUGAGGAUACUGUUCUCAAAAACUGGUAAGAUCGGAGCUGGUGGGGGUGUGAUCCUGUAGUUCUGUGUAUUCAGAACACAAGAGCAGAAAGUGCUAUUGGGCCAGGCAUGAGAAUCUGUAGAAGGAUGUUGAUAAACUGGAAGGUUUCAAAAGUUGGCAGCCGAGAUGGUGAGUGGUCUGGAAACUAAGCCUUGUGAGGAAUGGUUGAAGGAACUAGGUAUGUUUAGCCCGGAGAAGAGAAACCUAAGGGGAGAUAUAAUUACCAUCUUCAAAUAAGGGAUUGUCACACAGAAGAAGAAGCAGACUUGUUCUUUGUUGCUCCUGAGUAGGGGUGUGCAUGGACCGUUUGGCAUGAUUUGUUUUGAAUUUGGACCGAACCACGCCAAAGUGAACUGGUUCAGACGAAGCGAUUGGCUGGGCUGAUCGGUUAGACAAAGCAGCUUGCACCAGUUCAAAGUGGUUUGAAAUUGAACCACUCGGCCUGGUUCGCAGCGGUCUGGUUCGCAAGUGAACCAGUUCUGCAUAUCCUUAGGCAGCUCUAGAAUCAAUGGGUCAAAAUGACAAGGAAGCAAAUAUAGGCUAGACAUUAGGAAGAAUUUCCUAACUGUAAGGGCUGUUUGACAGUGGAAUAGUCUUCCUCACACAAUGGUGGGCUCUGCUUCUCUGGAGGUUUUCAAGCAGAGGCUGGACAACCAUCUGUCAGGGAUGCUGUAGCAGAUUCCUGGACUGAGCAGGGCAUUGGACUAGAAGACCUCCAAGGUUCCUUCUAACUCUAAAAUACUAUUCUGUAAUUCAUGCUGGGGUUUAUUUGUUUUCUUUAAUAAAAUGAAAUGCCUUAUU